rnacentral:tRNA from 1 species
GGUAGGUAGCUCAGUUGGUAGAGCGCCGGACUGAAAAUCCGUAGGUCGCCGGUUCAACCCCGGCCCUGCC